rnacentral:lncRNA from 1 species
GAUUCAUCAUUGAUCGUCGAAAGAGUGUCAACUCCCGUUCGUGUAGAUGCGUCGGCCCUCGCAAGAGUCCGAUGGGUCACCGGCGAUAAGGUCGUCGGCUUCAGGCGGAUACCGAGUCCAAGUCGAUAUGUCGGGGCUUGGCCUUGGUGAGCGCCGAUCAUUAGUCGAAGAGUCAAAACUCCGAGAUUUCAAAUCGAAUUUAUAUUCCGGCUAGCAAAUUACAAAGUUCAUGGAUAGUACAAUUUCAAGUUGUCAGCAUUCCAAGUUCGGGGAAUGGGUUUCCCCUCAAGGGUCUCUAGUCGGUAGGCUCUCGGACCGUAGGUGUCAGCUACCUUGUAGGGUCCUUCCCAAUUGGGAGCCAACUUUCCUUGGUCCAGGGGCUUCGAGACCUCCGCCUUCCUCAAGACCAAGUCACCAGGCCUGAAAAGCUUUGGUCUGACUUUAGCGUUGUAAUAUCGAGCGACCCUCUGUCGGUAUGAGGCCAUGCAAAUUUGAGCCUCAUCUCGUAGUUCGGGGAGGAGGUCUAGGUCGGCCCUCCGACACUCGGAGUUGUCCGGCUCUUAAUACCGCUCGACUCUUGAAGAUGGCAGUCCGAUCUCGAGCGGGAUCAUGGCCUCCGUUCCAUAGGCCAAACUGAAAGGCGAUUCCCCGGUCGGAACGCGGGGGGUUGUUCGGUAAACCCA